UAGGGAAUCUUCCACAAUGGGCGAAAGCCUGAUGGAGCAACGCCACGUGGGUGAAGAAGGUCUUCGGAUCGUAAAACCCUGUUGUUAGAGAAGAAAGUGCGUGAGAGUAACUGUUCACGUUUCGACGGUAUCUAAUCAGAAAGCCACGGCUAACUACGUGCCAGCAGCCGCGGUAAUACGUAGGUGGCAAGCGUUAUCCGGAUUUAUUGGGCGUAAAGGGAACGCAGGCGGUUUCUUAAGUCUGAUGUGAAAGCCCCCGGCUCAACCGGAGAAUUGCAUCAGAAACUGUUGAACUUGAGUGCAGAAGAGGAGAGUGGAACUCCAUGUGUAGCGGUGGAAUGCGUAGAUAUAUGGAAGAACACCAGUGGCGAAAGCGGCUCUCUGGUCUGUAACUGACGCUGAGGUUCGAAAGCGUGGGUAGCAAACAGG
rnacentral:rRNA from 1 species